CUAUACAUGCAGUCGAGCGGACAGAAGGGAGCUUGCUCCCGGAUGUUAGCGGCGGACGGGUGAGUAACACGUGGGUAACCUGCCUGUAAGACUGGGAUAACUCCGGGAAACCGGAGCUAAUACCGGAUAGUUCCUUGAACCGCAUGGUUCAAGGAUGAAAGACGGUUUCGGCUGUCACUUACAGAUGGACCCGCGGCGCAUUAGCUAGUUGGUGAGGUAACGGCUCACCAAGGCGACGAUGCGUAGCCGACCUGAGAGGGUGAUCGGCCACACUGGGACUGAGACACGGCCCAGACUCCUACGGGAGGCAGCAGUAGGGAAUCUUCCGCAAUGGACGAAAGUCUGACGGAGCAACGCCGCGUGAGUGAUGAAGGUUUUCGGAUCGUAAAGCUCUGUUGUUAGGGAAGAACAAGUGCAAGAGUAACUGCUUGCACCUUGACGGUACCUAACCAGAAAGCCACGGCUAACUACGUGCCAGCAGCCGCGGUAAUACGUAGGUGGCAAGCGUUGUCCGGAAUUAUUGGGCGUAAAGGGCUCGCAGGCGGUUUCUUAAGUCUGAUGUGAAAGCCCCCGGCUCAACCGGGGAGGGUCAUUGGAAACUGGGAAACUUGAGUGCAGAAGAGGAGAGUGGAAUUCCACGUGUAGCGGUGAAAUGCGUAGAGAUGUGGAGGAACACCAGUGGCGAAGGCGACUCUCUGGUCUGUAACUGACGCUGAGGAGCGAAAGCGUGGGGAGCGAACAGGAUUAGAUACCCUGGUAGUCCACGCCGUAAACGAUGAGUGCUAAGUGUUAGGGGGUUUCCGCCCCUUA
rnacentral:rRNA from 1 species